GACGAACGCUGGCGGCGUGCCUAAUACAUGCAAGUCGAACGAACCGCGACUAGGUGCUUGCACUUGGUCAAGGUGAGUGGCGAACGGGUGAGUAACACGUGGGUAACCUACCUCAUAGUGGGGGAUAACAGUCGGAAACGACUGCUAAUACCGCAUAGGACAUAGGAUCACAUGAUCCAGUGAGGAAAGGUGGCGCAAGCUAUCGCUAAGAGAUGGACCCGCGGUGCAUUAGCUAGUUGGUAGGGUAAAGGCCUACCAAGGCGAUGAUGCAUAGCCGACCUGAAAGGGUGAUCGGCCACAUUGGGACUGAGACACGGCCCAAACUCCUACGGGAGGCAGCAGUAGGGAAUCUUCCGCAAUGGACGCAAGUCUGACGGAGCAACGCCGCGUGAGUGAAGAAGGUCUUCGGAUCGUAAAGCUCUGUUGUUAGAGAAGAACAGCGCAUAGAGUAACUGUUAUGCGUGUGACGGUAUCUAACCAGAAAGCCACGGCUAACUACGUG
rnacentral:rRNA from 1 species